CCAGCGUGGGGCGGGUUGGGGGAGACAUCCUGUCCUGCGUGCGCAUCUGAAAGGCCGCGACCCGCUGGAGGAGCUCCACUGACGGCGUCGUAGAGGUCCAGUAGCUUAACUGUCCGUUAAAUGAUGAAUGAGUUAACUAAUUUCGGCUGCGAACUUGCACACUCGUCGCCUGGCUCCUCCCUGCAGCACUUGGAGACAGACCAGACACCAAAGAAGUUGAAAUGGCCCUGAGAAGAGUCACCCUCAAGGAUGCUGGAAAGGAUGCUGGAAAGGAUGCUUAGAAGCUGGGACAUAUUUAUUCCAGCAUUCUGCUUGAUUCCGCCUCACAGACUGCUUCAGUAGCUGUUUCCUCAAAAAUCUUCAGCCAGAAAAAAAUCUAUACACUUAGCUAGGUCAUCCAGCAUCACAGACUAUUCCAAUCAGAACUUCAAAUAAGCCCUUGCCUUUCUUAGAACACAGAGACUGGACAACAGAUGUCGGUAUAAUGUUCUUGUGGAAUGUAUACAAUUUACCUUUGCUCGUUCAAAUGCUAAUUUCUCUACCCCACUGGCUGUUUUCAAUCCAGAUAUUAACAUGUGAGGCUUAAUCUAAGCAUCACCUGUCCCAAGUUUGUAUAAACAUGCUACCAUUUGUUCUCUAUAUUGCCAAUAAAAACAACCAGCCAAUGCUGAGCAAUGGAGAGAAUACAGUGGGACAUCCUGGUCUGAUGGGGAGGAGAAAGAAGGGAAUGGGAGGAGAGAUCCCAGAGGCGAGAACCAGGAAGCAUCAAGAGAAGUGAACUGGACCUAAGAUAUGACUAAAAAGCAAGUAUAAUGUGGGAAAUCUGGGAGGAAGCUAUGCGGGCGUAGAAGUUUAGAAUGGAGUAACUAUUGCCCAGCAUUGUGCUCUAGGUUAAUCAAGUACA